CUUAAAUAUAAUUAGGAAGGCAGUUUUGUCUUGCUAAUUGUAGAGUCAAGAGAAAAAUUAUAAUCAUGAGCAAAUUCACGAUCCUUCUGCUGUUGGCAGCUUUGGUAACCAUUACCAUUCAAGCUCCCCAGGAUAACGGAUCAGGUGUCAAUGUCAUCGAUGGCGACCAACAAGUAAACGUCGUGGAUGGUGACCAACAAGUUAACGUUGUUGACGGUGUUGACAAUGUACAACCUCGGAACCAACCAACAGAAUAGUAAUAGAAAAUAGUAAAUAGUUUCAAAUAAUUUUAUAAGUAAACCCAAAUAUACCCAAAUAUGUAUAACGCACUCAAUUAAUUUGUAAAAUAAAGUUUUUUUUAUUCCUUUA